UUCGCGGUGCACGUUACUGAAAUGUGCCCUUUUCAAUCAGGUUUACCACCGCAGAAAUAACAUGGGCUGGCUAAAUGGCAUUUGUAACAUUUGCAAGUGAGACGUGUUGGAAAAAUGCUUACACACAGCAAAAUCGCUGGUGUCAAAUGUUCAGGGACGGUGUUGAAUUCCCAGUGUUGACAUUAUUUUAACACUAUAUAGUAAUAAAACUACAAUACCAUUGUUUUCUGCAAGACAGUGUGUGUGUGAAACAAGAGCGUAAUCUCAAAUCAGGCCACGCCUCCACUGAAUGACUGCCACCUGUCUGAAGGCUGCCAUUUUAUUUUGCACGAGGACAAGAAAACAGCAGAAAUGCUUGUUCAGGUGGAGUGCAGAGGAGACCCAGAAUGGAUCCAAAUCUCGACGAAAAACGACUGUAUAAAUUCUGUGAAUUCAUUCUUCAAGAUGAUGUCCUCCAAGCUGAGGCAGAGUUCUCUGGAUCCUGAUGGAUGCCCUGAGUCAUAAUUUUCAUCGGAGGAUCCCACCAUGUCUGGAUAAACUAUGCUAGUAUACAAGUAUGCAGUACAUCAAUGCACUUUCUCAAUUGACAAUCUUUGGUAAUAUAUAAGGCUCUCUUUGGAGAUGACAUCUCAUCUCAGACAGAAUUAUUGGGAAAAUGGAAACGUUUUACAGGAACAUCCAAAAUAAUUGCUGACCAUCAAAACCUAUGACAUGUUGCACAUGUUAACAACCUUUUAUCUGGUCAGCAGCAGUCUGAUUAUGGAUGGGACAGUGAUGUGGCGGCUCUCUUGCUCCUUCAUCUCUUGCCUCAAACUGUAAACGGUGAAACUGCCCAGAUUGUGCUAUGAAGUUUAUGAAGAAGUUCUACAUCAUCCUGGACCAGAAAAGAGUCCCCUGCAUGAUGCAGGCCCCUGCUGCAGCCUUGGGCAAACUCUUUAAGGCACUCUUUGUCUUGCUGUGUCUUAUGGCACGCAGCAGCGCAUAGCGGGCACGCACAGCACACUGAGCACAGCUGUGUGCAGCACGUUUGGCACAUCAGGCAGAGAGCCGCAGAAGUGAAGCCCUCCCUCCUUUCCAGUAGCGUUUGUCUUGCCGUGGAGGAAACUCACAGGACGGGGAUAAUGACUGUUCCUGUUAAUUGUGGUUUGGUGAAGACACAAGGCCUGUAGCUUCACUGUGAUCUACAGUACCAACAUCUCACUUCAGUCAUGAGUGAGCAGCUGGAAAGUCCAGAUUUUGAGAGUUAAGCAUUCGACCAGGAGAAGCAGGCGUUUCCUACCAAAUUGGGACCCAGUGAUUGGAGAGGAGGGGUUGAAAAAGUUGAAUAGCCACUGCCAAAGUCACAUGAUGCUUUGGUGUUGGAGUUGCUGGAGUGUUGCCUUCAAUAGAGUUUGGCAUUAGCAUGUUGGUAAACUAGGCUCAUGAUGCACUAUUUCUAGGGUGAACAUAUGUGCCUUUAUUUCUGGACACCUUCUUCAGAGGUCGCAUUUGUCCACCGCAUAUGUUAUUGAGGUUCUCACAUUUCAGUUAAAAACAUUAUACAAUUAAUAUUUAUUUCUCUUAAGACGGAUAAUCAUUGUGUCAUUCUUAUAACUGUUGCUUUUCUGAAGAACAACCUGAAAUAAUAAAGCUUGAUGACGUAUGCGGCGGACAAAUGCCACUUCCGGAGGACGCCCCCGAAAUCCUGUCCGGGACGUGUCUGGGAAAAAUGGCACGUGUGGUCACCCUUACACACAUAACUACGUUUAAGCAUACACCUUGGGAUCAAAUAUAUACGGUUUCUAUGGAAGAUCUUUGACCAUUGAUGAUGGACUCUUUCUACUGGAAGCUGCGUCUUAAUUUCCUAAGCAGUUGAACUUGAGAUAGCAGAGCAGAAAGCCAUGAGCUGAUGAGUGGAAAUCCCUGGGCUUUCUAAUUAAUGGAGGUACACAGGCCCGGAGGAUGAGGCGGAUCAGGGAAAUGACAUCAGAGGGGAGAUAGCAUCACUCAUUUCUCCGCUCUAUUGUCACCCUAUGGGAUCGGCUGAAAUGAAUCGCUCGAGCAUCCGCCGAUAGAUUUGAAUGGAGCAUCCUGAUCAAACGACCAAAUCGAGGCUUGGGCAACAGGUGGGGUUCAUCCCUCAAAGCUGCAGGGAUCUUACAAAUGAACGGAGGAGAUUUAGUCGAUACGCCAUAUAAGGAGAAAGGGGAGGGGCCGUGUUUCAGAAAACAAAACACAAGACGAGCUUCAAAAUGGAGAGACAAAAAUGACAAGAGAGCAGAGAAACCAAAGAAAAUGAGAAAUAAAAGAAGACGAGAGUAGAAGAUGUGAAGAAGUGUGUUGCUGGGCAGAGGGCUGGCGCUGAACGCAGGGUUGGCAGGCAGGGUGGAGAAGCGGGCACGCUCGCAGACAUCUGUUGGCGCUCUGCGGCUGCUGGAGGGAGGGCGCUUUGCCAUGACCGGCGGGAAUAUGGCACGCUGAUGAUGCUAUGGGCAUGAAUGCCUGGCCUUCAUGCUGUCCACUUCUCCAGCUGUCUAACAGCACCCACACACACACUCGUCACCUCCUCUGGAUGCCAGCCAGUCCCAUAAUGCCAGUUGGUGUGGCAUCAUACGGUAGAAAAGCAGUCUUGCAUCUUCAAGAGCUGCCGUUGAUGCUGAUGCAAAACUUCAGAAGGCAGUAAAUCAUAUUUAAAUGUGCUGCAGGCAGACACAGAUAUAUUUAGCUGCACACACACUUUGUUUGCGGUUAUUUUGCAACUGUACAAUGCAAAGUGUGCAGUUGUUCUCUAUUUCUGCUUGACCUGACCCAUAAAAGACACUUUGUUGGUAAUGUAUACCUUUGUAGUCGAGUCUACAACUGUUUAUUCACAUUAAAUAGGUCUCUCUUUAUUAUUAUAAAUAAUGUUCAUUUGUAUAUUUGUAUGCCUGACAAAAUAUUUUUUAAUAAAAACUUUUAUUACUGUAAGUUCAUGACUGUGCAUUUCAUCACAGAACCGCCCCAUAUGUCUUAUAAAUCCCUUCAUUUCACGUUAGCGUUAAACCCUUCGCUCUACGCGAGUUAAAGUAGCAGCGCGUGAUCUCUAUGCCACUGAUUUCCCCCGCGAUGAGAACAGCAUCAUGUUAAUUAUUUCAACC